AGUCGAACGAGAGAUGAAGAGCUUGCUCUUCAAAUCGAGUGGCGAACGGGUGAGUAACGCGUGAGGAACCUGCCUCAAAGAGGGGGACAACAGUUGGAAACGACUGCUAAUACCGCAUAAGCCCACGGCUCGGCAUCGAGCAGGGGGAAAAGGAGCAAUCCGCUUUGAGAUGGCCUCGCGUCCGAUUAGCUAGUUGGUGAGGUAACGGCCCACCAAGGCGACGAUCGGUAGCCGGACUGAGAGGUUGAACGGCCACAUUGGGACUGAGACACGGCCCAGACUCCUACGGGAGGCAGCAGUGGGGAAUAUUGCACAAUGGGGGAAACCCUGAUGCAGCGACGCCGCGUGGAGGAAGAAGGUCUUCGGAUUGUAAACUCCUGUUGUUGAGGAAGAUAAUGACGGUACUCAACAAGGAAGUGACGGCUAACUACGUGCCAGCAGCCGCGGUAAAACGUAGGUCACAAGCGUUGUCCGGAAUUACUGGGUGUAAAGGGAGCGCAGGCGGGAGAACAAGUUGGAAGUGAAAUCCAUGGGCUUAACCCAUGAACUGCUUUCAAAACUGUUUUUCUUGAGUAGUGCAGAGGUAGGCGGAAUUCCCGGUGUAGCGGUGGAAUGCGUAGAUAUCGGGAGG
rnacentral:rRNA from 1 species